rnacentral:rRNA from 1 species
GUCGACGGAAUGAGCGGCGGACGGGUGAGUAACACGUAAAGAACCUGCCCUCAGGUCUGGGAUAACCACGAGAAAUCGGGGCUAAUACCGGAUGGGUCAUCGGACCGCAUGGUCCGAGGAUGAAAGGCGCUCCGGCGUCGCCUGGGGAUGGCUUUGCGGUGCAUUAGCUAGUUGGUGGGGUAAUGGCCCACCAAGGCGACGAUGCAUAGCCGACCUGAGAGGGUGAUCGGCCACACUGGGACUGAGACACGGCCCAGACUCCUACGGGAGGCAGCAGUAGGGAAUCUUCCACAAUGGACGAAAGUCUGAUGGAGCAACGCCGCGUGAACGAUGAAGGCCUUCGGGUCGUAAAGUUCUGUUGUAAGGGAAGAACAAGUGCCGCAGGCAAUGGCGGCACCUUGACGGUACCUUGCGAGAAAGCCACGGCUAACUACGUGCCAGCAGCCGCGGUAAUACGUAGGUGGCAAGCGUUGUCCGGAAUUAUUGGGCGUAAAGCGCGCGCAGGCGGCCUCUUAAGUCUGAUGUGAAAGCCCCCGGCUCAACCGGGGAGGGCCAUUGGAAACUGGGAGGCUUGAGUAUAGGAGAGAAGAGUGGAAUUCCACGUGUAGCGGUGAAAUGCGUAGAGAUGUGGAGGAACACCAGUGGCGAAGGCGACUCUUUGGCCUAUAACUGACGCUGAGGCGCGAAAGCGUGGGGAGCAAACAGGAUUAUAUACCCUGGUAGUCCACGCCGUAAACGAUGAGUGCUAUGUGUUGGAGGGUUUCCGCCCUUCAGUGCUGA